UAUAACGUCACGAGAGCCAGUACCGUUGCCAAGCAGUAAUUAGCAAUGCUGAGACGAGGAUAGGAAACGGAUCCAGGAGUCGAAAGAGAGAACAAAUACUCAAGUGCGAGUGUCCGUAUGGAAACAGCAACUAAAAGCAUGUAACAGGUCCCAAACAAGGAAAGUGUUAUGAGAAUAAACAAGCAGAUUGAACGGCUGGGUAGGAGAUAGGCCGUUAAAACAGUUGCUGCCCAAAAAGUUAAAGUGUUGUAUAACCAAAACAUUGUGGACACGUCUAGUAUAUUUUUAAAUUUUUCUUCUUCAGCGGGUGGAGGAGUUGGUGCGGGUCCAGUGCUGGUUGAACCUACAGAUGCGUCAUACCUGAGAUGGAAAUUCCGGGAAUUUGAAAUGGUAUCAGGCUGCUUUGGAGGGUUCAAAGUGGCAGUGUAUGUGGCUGUUAUAAUUAGCACUGUGACCACUAAAAAUGUGUUACGCAUCUCAUGUGGGAUUCCCUUCUUUCCACGACUUGCCAUUGUUGCAAAUUUUUGAAGAACUGACACCUUUCCUUUUAAAGAUUCGAUGUGGACUGAGGUUUUGGGAAGCGAGGAACCACUCAAACCUCCUGCUUUGCUUAUCAUGUCUUUAAUGGACGCCUUAUAGUCCACUUUCCCUUCAACCAAUGGGUAUUGUGAUGGGAUAUCAAGUGCAGUCAAUCCCUCCGCAUUUUUGGCAUUGAUAUGGUCACCACACAAGCGUUCCAGCAGUACUUUUACCACCUGUUAAUUAGAAUAUUCAUACAAGAGUAACCUUUGAGUAUAUAUAUAUACAUAAAUAAUUUCACUAGCAAAAUUAUCAUACCUGAGGUCUGUUUCUGAUAGCAGCGACAUGUAAAACAGUGUUGCCAUCAAUGUCUGCCCAACUCAGUAGUUCUUUCUCCCAACGGUUGGCAGCUUUAUGGCGGCUCCUUAUAAGCCACCCCACCAAGACUUGGAAAGCUUCAAACCUGUCAUUUUUUACGGCAAGAUGGAAAACCGUCUCAUCUCGAACAGUCACAUCUUCAAUAGCCUCGGGGCAAACCUCAAGGAACUUGAUCAAAAAAUCAACAUUUCCAUUUUGAACCACAUGAUGCAAAGGAGUGAAGCCCUCCCGCCCUUUGACACGAACAAGGCCUUCAUCAAACCUGAGGAGUCGAAGCACUGCUUGAGUGUGUUGAUUUUGCAGAGCCAAGUGCAUGGGGCUAAACCCAGCUUGGUUUAGCUUUCUUGCAAACGAUGGCUUUAAGUUGAUCAUCUCCAUCAUAAAAUCAAUAUGCCCUGCAGAGGCUGCUACAUGCAAAGGAGUAUGGAAAAAAGGUACAUCAUCGAUACGCUGAAAAACAUAUGGAUCAUUCAGAAUUAACUCAUACAAGAUGUUUAUGUCUCCUGUUUGUGCAGCACCUAUCAUCCUCUCAUCCAUAGCAAGGUGCGGAAAUUUGCAGAAUAUAGAAAUGGAGUGAAGAAAAAACGCUUUAGCAGACGAUGUGAUUAUGUUAAGGAUAUACUGAAGUGUUUGAUUAUUUUUUCCAGAUGGAGUGUGUGACAUUUUAUAGCACUUAAUUAUUUUGGAUUUAUAUGUGAUGUCAGCCACUACACGUAUACAUGUGAAUGUCACCUAUUAGAAAGAAAUAGUAAUUAUAUUUAGUAAUUAAAUUCAUAUUUAAUAUAUAUUUUUAAUCUAAUUUUUUAACUCAAUUUAAUUUUAGUUAAAACGUUUAAAAACAUUUAUUUAAUUUCUUUAAUAUAUUAAAUAAAUUGAAUUAGAGAAUAUAUUAAAUAUGGAUGAAUACUAUAUCAUACUAAUUUUAUGUCUCUAAAAAUUAAUAAGGUGUCAUUAUUUUAUUGGUGCUUAAAAAAUUAAAAUAUUUAGAAUCAUCCUAAUAUAAGUUAUUCUAUUAAUAAUAAUAUUUUGUACUCCCACGAGUAAGUUCAAUAGUUUGACAAAUAUCUUAUAAAAGUAUAGUAAAAUAUAAAAAAAAUUAUUUAGUGACUUAAUUUUUUAAGAACAUUUGAUAAUUUAUAAAGAAAAUAAAUAAUAAUUUUUUUCAAUAAAAAAAGUGUGAAAAAAUGAUAAGUAGAUAAUAACUAUUAUCACUUACAACAUGUUUGGAUUAAAAAGAUAGAAAAAAGGAGGGAAAAUUAAGUAAAAUGAGGGAAAGAAAAUUCGGUUUCUUUGUUUAAGUUAAGUAAAUAUCGUAUUAUUAGAUUUUAUAUUUUAGGGUCUGUUUGAUUGAAGGAAUUGAUUUUCCGGAAAAUCAUUUCCAACUUUUCCAGCAUUUGAUUGGCGGAAAACAUUUUCCAUUUGGAAAAUGAACUCCAAAACAUGGGAAAAUGGGUUACAUUUUAGGGAAAAUGUCUUACCCUUUCAAUUUCCGUAAGACAUUUUCCGUGCUCUCCUCUCUAUCGCCUCAUUCAUUCCUUCCUUCAUUUCCGGUAAAAAAUUGUUACUGUUUAUCGAUUUUCUAGUAACUUGUUUUUUUAAUUAUUCAAUACUUGUUUUUUUAACACAAUUACAAAUAAUUUAUUUGAUAUUAAUUUUUUUCAAUUUAUAAUGAUUAAUAUUGUAGCUUAAUAAUUGAGUAUUAUUAUAAAUAAAUCAUUGCAAUAUAUGUAAAAAUAAUUUAAAAUAUAAAAAAUUAUUAAUAUAUAUCAAUAUAUGUAAAAACAAUUUUUUCGAAAAAUAUUUCCAAGAAAUCUGCCAAACAGCCGAAAAUAUUUUACACAGAUUUAAUCAAACACCAGAAAAUAUUUUCCACUAAAUCAUUUUACAGAAAAGUAAAAUAUUUUCCCGAAAUCAUUUUACGGAAAAUAUUUUACUGGCAAUCAAACAGACCCUUAGAUUAUUAUCUCUUCUUCUUCUUCUUCUUUUAACUUGUAACCAUCUUAUUUUUAUUUUUUAUUUGUUUAGGUUACUAGAAAUAUUUAAUUUUAAAUUUGUUUGAUAUAUAUUUUUAAAAAUUUUAACAAUAUUUUUUAUUAACUAUUUUGUUAAAUUAUUAGGAAUCCUUCAUUUGUAAUUUGGUUAGGAUAUAUUUUUUAGUUUGAUCAAAUAAGCUUAUUUAAAAAAAAAGAGAAUAUACCAAUAUAUUAUUGGUUAACAUUUUAAUUAUUAUUUUAUAUAGACUAUUGAUAUUGUUCUAUAAUUUUAAUUUGCUGUGAUUUAAUUUUGUUAUUAUAUAUUAUUUAUGAACUGUUAAAAUUAAAAAAUAAAAGUAAAAUAAUUCAUUUUCUUUCCUUUUCACAGUUUAGCAAAACAAGUCCACAAGGUCGCCCCAUUCAACAAAAAUUAAAUUGUUUAAAUAUAUAUAUGUAUAUAGGGACUAGUUUUAACAAAUGAAAAAUAUAGAAAAACUACAUUAAAAAAAUGGAGAAUGGAGGAAAACAGAGGGAGAAGCAGAAGACAAUAAAAAAUAAAGGAAAGUUAAAAGAACAUAAAAAAAAUUAAAUUGAAUUGCUCAAAAUGAAAAAAAUAUGGGGAUCAGUUGUAUAAAUCACCCUAAAUUUUUUGUUUGAAAGAUGAUUUAACAUGUCACAUCAGCUUAUCGUUAUAUGGUUAACGGAAAUUAACAGCUCAGUGACUAAAAUGUUACAACGCGAUAACGUAAGUGACUAAAAUGUAACAUUUCAAACAUAAAUGACUAAAAUGUAAGCAAAAGUGACUAUUUUAAUAAUUUACCCUUACAUUUAUCUAAACAUACUCUUAAUGUAAACAUUUUUCAAUUAUUUUUAUUUCAUUUUAUUUUUAACCAUUAUCCAUUAUCCUUACUUUAAAAAGUAUAAUUAAUAAAUCGUAUAAUUAUUUUUCAAAAUUAAUUUUAAGUAAUACACCAAAUAGAUUUUAUAACUUAAAUUUAAUAUUUAAGUUUAUAAUAUUUUUUUAUCAAACAACAUUUACUCCUAAGUAAAUAAAUAAAUAAAGGCCUUGUGUAAUUAAGAAAGUUGAGAAAGGGUUAAUCCUCACAUGGAAAAAAUUGGCUACAAUAAUGAAGGAAAGAGAAAAACACUAAGGAAUAUCCAAUAAUUGGGAGGCAAUAUGUCAAUUAUGAGCAUACCCCAUACUGUCAAUGGUGAUGGAUGAAUUGUCUACUAUACAUGGAUUUUGUUUUCCCUUUUUUUUUUCUUUUUUUUUUGUUCUUGUCCUGUAUUAUUUGGAUUUGAGAUCCCAAGCUAUGUAUGUCAUCACAUUUUAAAUAUAUAUAUAUAUUUAUUAUGUAUUGAAUAUCAGUUUUAUUGGUAUAAAUAUUAUUGUUAAUGUAUGAGAAUAUAGGUUCAAGUGUGCACUACACCAAAACAGGCUUUUAGCGGCGUUUUGAGCGAAGACGCUGCUAAAAAUCGAGAAAUAGCAGCGUUUUAGGAAAAGCGCCGCUAAAGAGUGAGCAUUAGCGGCGUUUAAGUAAAAGUGCCGCUAAAGAGUGAGCAUUAGCAGUGUUUAUAAAAAACGCCGCAAAUAAUACACCUAGACGGUGCCGUUUUAUGUCCUUUCGGGGGAAUUAGUGGCGUUUUUUGUAAAGCGCCGCUAAGGCUAAGACUUUUAGUGGCGUUUUUUGAAAAUCGUCGCUAAUCUAGGUGUUUUAGCGGCGUUUUUUGUUUAUGCGCCGCAAAAAUAAUUUAUCUUAAUUGAACUAUUAUUUAUAUUGUUUAAAUCAAAUUAAACAUAUUUCUAAUAGAAUAUUUAAAAUCUUCAAUAAAAAAUUACAGGUAUAAAUAAUUUGAAAUAAAACACAUGGAAAAAUUAAAAUAGUAUUAUUUAAAAUAAUUUUAAAGUUUGUUGGGUACAUUACUGAUUGUUUUUUAAUUUAUAUAUUAAAAAUUUGAAAUUAUUAUCGUAAUUAAAAGAGAUAGUAUUAAUUUAAAUUUAAAAUAUUGAAUUAAGCGUAUCACUAUAGUUAAUAUAGGGUUUUAGGUUUUAGGGGUAUAUAUAUGAUAUUAUUAAUUUAAGAUUUUAAGUCGAUUUAGGGGUUACUAUUUUAAGGUUAUUAUUAUAAUUGAUCAGGAGUAUAUAUAUAAUAUUUGAUUUAAGGAUAUGGUUUAAGGGCUGAGAUAUAAUGUUUAGGGGUUAGGGCUGGGGUUAGCACUUAGGGGCUAUUAAUUAGGAGUUAAUUAAGGAUUUAGGGUUUAGUUAGGGGUUGGGUUAGGGAACGUAGGGUUUUAGAUUAAUUAGUAUUGCCAAAUUAUAUUUUAAAUAUGUUCUUAUAUAUAUAAUUGUAAAAGAGGUAAUAAUAAAUUUGUUUAGGAUUUUUCGGUUCGGUAUAUGAUUUGGUUUCGGUAUAUUAUUAAUUUAAAUACGAAUUUGAAUAGUAAUGCUCAAAUAUAUAAUUCAUGAAUAACACUUAAAUACUUAAAUAAAUUUGUGAAUUUGAAUUGAAAUCAUCCAAAAUAUGCAUAUACCUGAGUCGGUAUCUUUCCUAUUUUGAUCACUUCAAUAAAAAAAUCCCAUAUAUAUAUAUUUAGUACUCCUUAUUUGUUUUCAUUAAUUUAUCUAUUUGAUGAAGAUCAAUAUAUAAAUUAGUUAAUUAGACAAAUUUAUUCAUUUAUCAAUAAAAUANNNNNNNNNNNNNNNNNNNNNNNNNNNNNNNNNNNNNNNNNNNNNNNNNNNNNNNNNNNNNNNNNNNNNNNNNNNNNNNNNNNNNNNNNNNNNNNNNNNNAAUAUUAUAAAUUUCAAAUUUUAUACAAAAAAAUAAAUAUUAUAAAGAUAAUAUUGUUUAUUGCUACUUUAUACAAAAAGUUUUUAGUAUUAAUUAUUCUUUAAUCAAUUAUAACUAUUUUAUGAUAUUUAUUAAAGAUUUAGGGAUUAUUUUGGAUGGCCGUGCUAUUUUAAGGAUUAGGGGUACAGAUUUAGGGUUUGGGAUAUAAGAGUUAUCUAGGGGUUUAGGGGUUACAAGUUAUGAUUUAGGGGUUAAAGAUUUAAGGUUUAGGGGUUUAGGGGUCGGAUAAGGAUUUUAGGUUAGUUUAGAUUAAUUUCUUUAAAUAAUUUUUUAAAAAACCAAUCUAAAGUACCAAUUGAUAUAUUUAAAUAUUAUUUUAAAUAGAAUUCAUAAAUAAGUUAAAAAAUAUAUUGAUUUAUAUUAUAUGGAUAUGGUUAUAUAUAUUUAGGUAUAAUUAUUUAUUUUGGAAAUAUAUAUAUAGGACCAAAUACAUAAGAAAUGAAGUAAAAAAAUAAUAAAAAAUUUUAAAACGGCGCCGUUUUCGAAUGAAUAGUUAAACUUUUAGUGGCGUUUUAACUAUUAAACGCCGCAAAUAUGGGAAAGCAGUCGUGGCGUUUGUACAAGAAACGCCGCAAAAGUGUCUUUAAAAUUUGAGUAAACGACACCAUCUGUCUACACGAUUUUUAACUUAUAAAAAGUUUAGAAUUAUUUACUUGAAACGUCACCAUUUGGCUUGUUGUACGUUAAGUAUUAGUGGCGUUUUUACAAAAAGCCACAAAAUGUACAAUUUGAGAACCAAAAAACAGCGCCGUUUCUGCAUACAGGUUUAAAUUUUUAUGGCGUUUUCGCAAAAACGCAGGAAAUUUAGGAAGCAAUAGCGGCGUUUUUCAGUAAACGCCGCAAAAGGGUAUUAAAAUAAUGUCUAAACGGUGCCGUUUCUGUACAUGAUUUGUAACUUAGAAAAAUUUUAGAAUUAUUUAUUCAAAACAUCAAUUAAGUAUUCGUGGCGUUUUUACACAAAACGCAACUAAUAAUACAAUUUGAGACUAGCAAAACGACGCCAUUUCUGUUUAAAACUUGAACUUUUAGUGGCGAUUUUAUAUCAAACGCCGCAAAUGGGUUUUAAAAAAAUGGGUAAACGGCGUCAUUUCUGUACAGUAUAUUUUACUUUGACAAAAUUUAGUGGCAUUUGUGCUUAAAACGCCAGAAAUAAUGCAAUUCCAGACCACGAAAACGGUGUCGUUUCUGUUCACAGCUGUAAUACGUAGUGGCGUUUUUAGGAAAACGCCGGAAAUGUGGAAGAAGUUGCGGCGUUUGUACCUAAAACGCCGCAAAACGAUGUUAAUAUAAUGGCUAAACGACAUCGUUUCCGUAACCGAUUUUUAACUUAUAAAAAUCUUAGAAUAAUAUAUUUAAAACGUCACCAUUUGGCUUAAAAUAGAUUAAGCAUACAGGUUUAAAUUUUUAUGGCAUUUUCGUAAAAACGCAGGAAAUUUAGGAAGCAAUAGCGGCGUUUUUCAAUAAACGCCACAAAAGGGUAUUAAAAUAAUGUCUAAACGGCGCCGUUUCUGUACAUGAUUUGUAACUUAGAAAAAUUUGAGAAUUAUUUAUUCAAAACAUCAAUUAAGUAUUUGUGGCGUUUUUACACAAAACGCAACUAAUAAUACAAUUUGAGACUAGCAAAACGACGCCAUUUCUGUUUAAAACUUGAACUUUUAGUGGCGAUUUUAUAUCAAACGCCGCAAAUGGGUUUUAAAAAAAUGGGUAAACGGCGUCAUUUCUGUACAGUAUAUUUUACUUUGACAAAUUUUAGUGGCAUUUGUGCUUAAAACGCCAGAAAUAAUGCAAUUCCAGACCACGAAAACGGUGUCGUUUCUGUUCACAGCUGUAAUAUGUAGUGGCGUUUUUAGGAAAACGCCGAAAAUGUGGAAGAAGCUGCGGCGUUUGUACCUGAAACGCCACAAAACGGUGUUAAUAUAAUGGCUAAACGACAUCGUUUCCAUAACUGAUUUUUAACUUAUAAAAAUCUUAGAAUAAUAUAUUUAAAACGUCACCGUUUGGCUUAAAAUAGAUUAAGUAUAAGUGGCGGUUUUUAUUAAACGCCACAAAAAAUGCAAUUUCAGAGUAACAGAACGGCGCCGUUUCUGUUAAAAGGUUUAAUUUUUUGUGGCGUUUGGUCUAUAAACGCCAGAAAUUUGGAAUAAGUAGUGGCGUUUUUUCAAGAAACGCCGCAAAUGUGUUUUAAUAUUUUUUUCUCAACGAUGCCGUUUCCGCAGAUGUUCUUUAACUUAGCAUUUACACUCGACAAAGCACAAAAAGCAAAAGCCAAGUGCAGAGGCCAAUUGGGAAGGGGAAAAAACCUAAGAAAAAAAUCUAAGGAAGAAAGUGGAGGAGAAAUCAGAAAUCAUCAAAAAGGAAGCAACGAUUGCGUCAUUCUUGACAGUAGUUGCAGAAUUUCUGGUUAAAAGGUAUGCGUUUAAUCCUUCUGAAGAACAUCGUCUUGAUUUAGGGUAAUUUUGGGUGCAUUGUGUUUUGCAAAUUUGGGGUUUAGGAAAAAAAUUUAGAUUUUAGGGUUUGCGGUUUAGGUUAAAACACCAUUCUUGUUUGGGAAUUUGGGGAACUUGUAAAUUAUUUAUUUAGCAAUUUAAAUAGAAGGGUUUAUUUAGGAAAAAUUUGUGUAUUUAGGGGUUGCCUGAAUACAAAUAUGGGUCCUUAACACAGCCUGUUGUUUCUCCAUUACAGCGAUUUUUGGAGAAGCAUAAAAGGGUAAGGACAGCCCUUCUGGUUGUGGUAGUAUUUGGUGCUUCUAUGGUCAUCUUUAUGGCUGUGGAUUCUAGAGUUUAAUCUCGGUUCCUCUUAAACAUAUGUGGCAACUAGGACAAUAAGCAAAACUAUUAAUCAUGACAGUAUAUAUGAUUAUGGAUGGUGCUAGUGAGCUUGAGAAUACAUUCCCUUUAAUAGCUCUACUAAUAUUUUGCAUAUGGACUAGACAAGAGAUACCAAUAAAUAACUCGUCUGGUCUUACACCUGAAAGACUCAAAUUAACACAGAUUUAAACCCAAGCUAGCUGGUGAAGGUUAAACAAACCAUUUUCCUAAAAUUUUCUUGGCUGAGCCAUUAUUCGGACCAUGCAAUCAUUGUUGCAAUAGUGCAUAAUUAUGUUUGAUUCGUUUAGUGUGCUUAUUUCUCAGCUGGACAUAGUUGAUCUCCCAUGACAGAGUUAUGGAUACUGAUAUCAGAAGUUCUUUAAUGAACAUAGUGGUGUCAUCCUAACUUCCACAUUACUUUGAUAACUUUAAUUGGUUGCAUUAUUCCUCCUAUCUAUAGUAUAUUGUUUGUGGUGGAUGGUUUGACAUGUCUCAGUGCUGAUGUUUCAUUAUUCAAAUAAGAUUUUUAAUUUUGGAUUUUGUUAUAUUUAAGCUUUAUACUAAUUUUUUCCUAGUACUAACUUACUUGUGUUUUCCUUUUUAUUUUUUUUUUGCAGUAGUUUGCUUCGAAGUCCAGGAAAUUGAGGUAUUUAUUCCUAUGUUUCCCACCUUGGUUUUCUUAAAAAAACACCUCCAAAUGUUUAAAUUUUGGAUUUUGUUAUAUUUUAUCUAUGUACUUUAAUUAUUAUUUUUGAGUUUUAAAAGGGAGUUUUAAUUAAGAAUUUUUUUUAAGUUGUGGGUAUCGGUUUUAAUUAUCAUUUUUGAUUUAUAUGUUGCUAGCUCAAUUUGCAUGUUACUUUGCCAAAUUUUUCCAUAACUGCAAGGUAUAAAUUAUGAUUGUAAAUCUUGUACGUAUUUUUUACCCAAGCAAAAACAAUUACGCAAAUUAUUAAAAUUCUUAAAUCACUUUAUAUAUUGGAGUAAGUGAAUAAAUUAUGGGCGAAUAGUGGAUUCGUUUUAAAGUGAACAAAUUAUCGAUUUUCAAUUUUAUGCCAAUUAAUAAAUUAUCGACGUUAGUUCUCAUUUAUGCAAUUGAAUGUUAAUGUUUAAUAAUAUAUGAUUAUUCAAUAAAUUGAUCUAUUAAUUGAUUGAAUGUCAAUGAAUUAUCAAUUUUUGUAAGUUAAUUUGGUUAAAUUUAUUACUUAAAUACAUUACUUACUAAAAUUUGUUUAAAUUUAUUACUUAAAUAUGUUACUUAAAUACAUUACUUACUAAAAUUUAAGUAUAUAUUACAUUACUUACAUAACUUGUUAAAAUAUAUUAUAAUUUUAAAAAUAAUUAUAAUUAAGAUACAUAAAAGUGCAAUACUUACAUCAUACAUUAUUUACACAACCAAAAAUUGAAAUUUACAAGAACUUACAUAACUUGUUAAUAUUUAUAUAAACUUACAUAACUAUCACAUAAACUUACAUAAUAUNNNNNNNNNNNNNNNNNNNNNNNNNNNNNNNNNNNNNNNNNNNNNNNNNNNNNNNNNNNNNNNNNNNNNNNNNNNNNNNNNNNNNNNNNNNNNNNNNNNNNNNNNNNNNNNNNNNNNNNNNNNNNNNNNNNNNNNNNNNNNNNNNNNNNNNNNNNNNNNNNNNNNNNNNNNNNNNNNNNNNNNNNNNNNNNNNNNNNNNNNNNNNNNNNNNNNNNNNNNNAUACAUUAUUUACAUAUUAACUUACAUAAGUUAUCUACAAGCUUGUGGUUAAACUUGCAUAACUUACAUAAUAACAUAACAACUUACAUAAUACAUAGCAUACAUAACUUACAUAACUUACAUAAUACAAAACUUACAUAACUUAAAUAUCUUACACAACUUACAUAACGUACAUAAUACAUAACUUACAUAAUACAUAAUAACUUACAACUUACAUAACAUACAUGACUUUGAUAACUUACAUAACUUACAUAAUACACAACUUGUUAAGCUUACUUAAUACAUAACUUACAUAACUUAUACACGUACAUAACUUACAUAAUUUACUUAAUACAUAAAUAUAUAUCAUAUGAUAUACUUACAUAACUCAUUUAUACUUACCACUCAACAACUUACCCUUGUAAUUUCUGGUGAAAAUCAGACGUCAAGAAAUAAGAAAUGGACCGGUCUUGGAUGAAUUUAUCAAGGGUAAGUGACGGUUAUCGAAAUGGAGUACAGACUUUUCUAAAUUUUGCAUUUCAAUAUGCAAGCCAGGAGAACAUGAUUCUUUGCCCGUGUAAGAAGUGUGUCAACAUAAACUCGCAUUAUCGUGAAGUGUGUCAAUAUGAAAACGAUGGGUUUGUUCGGGGUUAUAAACAAUGGUUUUUUCAUGGAGAAUGCCCGCCUAGUACUUCCUCAUCAAGGAUGGAUGUAUCUUAUGACAGUACUACUUACCAUCAGUCUGUUAGAGGGGAUGGCAUGGAAGGGAUGUUGCGGGAAGCAUUUAAUAUUCACAACCAUGGUUUACAGUCGUUCCCAGCCGACUUUGUGGCACCUGAUGAUUGUAAUAUCGGUGGAAAUGCUUUUACCGAACCUGAAAGAAGUGUACAUCAUGAAGAGCCGAAUGGAGAAGUGGCAAAGUUCUACGUGCUACUUAAUGACAUGAAUGAAGAACUGUUUGAGGGAUCAAAAUUCUCGAAAUUAUCUUUCUGUAUUCGUCUUUUCCAGUUAAAGUGUUUGGGAGGGUGGACCGGGAACUCUUUAACAAUGCUGUUAGAGUUUCUGAGAGAGAUGUUUCCGUUUGCAAAAAUCCCUCAAUCAUGCAAAGAUAUAAAGAAAAUGAUAAAAGAUUUAGGUCUUGGGUACACCAAAAUCCAUAGUUGCCCGAAUGACUGCAUGUUGUAUUGGGGCGAUCGAAGAAACCAGCAAUGCUGUCACAUAUGCGGCCAAUCACGUUGGAUAAAUAGAAACACAGAAGAUGGGAACGACGAUGAAAAUGAUACACUGGCAAGAAAGAAGCCGGUCAAGAUUUUGUGGUAUUUUCCGCUCAUACCAAUGCUUCAAAGGCUUUUCAUGUCGUCGAAGACAGCGGAGUCUAUGACGUGGCACCAUGAUGGACGAACCGAUGAUGGGAAGAUGAGGCAUUCAGCAGAUUCUUUAGCUUGGAAAUCAUUUAACAAUAAAUUUCCAAGCUUUGCAAGCGAUCCUAGGAGUGUAAGGCUUGGCUUAGCAUCUGAUGGAUUUAAUCCGUACAAGAUCAUGAGUACUGCGUACAGUACUUGGCCAGUAGUGCUUGUUGCUUACAAUCUGCCUCCGUGGAUUUGCAUGAAGCAAUCUUCCUUUAUCUUAUCUAUGAUUAUCCCUGGAGAGAAAGGGCCCGGGAAUGAUAUCGACAUUUAUUUACAGCCACUUAUUGAAGAGUUAAAACAAUUGUGGGCUGGUGUCGAGACAUACGAUCUGCUGAGAAAGGAGAACUUUAAUCUACGUGCAGCUUUGAUGUGGAUCAUUAAUGACUUUCCCGCUUAUGCCAAUUUAUCCAGUUGGAGUACAAAGGGUCGUUAUGCGUGUCCUUGUUGUGCUGCACAAACAUGUUCGCAAUGGUUGUACAAUGGGAAGAAGUUCUCUUACAUGGGGCAUCGUCGGUGGUUACCGGAAAAUCAUAGAUUUAGAUUUCAAAGUUCUGUAUUUGACGGUACUGAAGAGUUCAGAGAAGCUCCUUCGUAGACCAGUGGCUCUGAAAUCUUGUUCAUGUUGGAAGAUAUGAAUUUCAUUUAUGGGAAGAUGAACCAACCGCCAAACACGCAAAGAAGUAGAAGAUCAAACGAUGAAGCUGAUGAUGACUCUGAUGAAGAGGACGAUCCUAAUGAGGCGGACUUGUGGAAAAAAAGAAGUAUUUUUUUUGAGUUGCCUUAUUGGGAGCAUCACCUUUUACGACAUAAUCUUGAUGUUAUGCACAUUAAGAAAAAUGUCUGCGAGAACAUUGUGGGUACAAUUUUGAAUGUCGACGGAAAAUCAAAAGACAAUCUUCAAAGUCGACUUGAUUUAGUACAAAUGGGAAUCCGACCUGAUCGUCAUCCCAAUCCACUUUCGAAUGGGAAAUAUCGGUUGCCGCCAUCUAUUUUUUCAAUGUCGAAGACGGAAAAAGAAGUGUUCUGCACGGUGUUGAAGGAUAUAAAGGUUCCAGAUGCGUAUGCAUCAAAUAUAUCUCGAUGUGUUAGUGUUAAAGAUCGAAGAUUAUAUUCGCUAAAAUCACAUGACUAUCACAUCUUGAUGCAAGAUUUACUGCCAGUGGCUCUACGAUGUUGUAUGUCCAAGAAGGUGACGUCUUGUAUAAUUGAACUAUCCAACAUAAUGAAAGCCAUUUGUGGCAAAGUUUUGGAUGUUCAAGAACUUCGGAAGGUACAAGAUCGAGCCGCUUUGACUUUAUGCAACAUGGAGAAAAUCUUUCCACCUUUCUUCUUCACCAUUAUGGUUCACUUGAUAAUCCAUCUCCCACACGAAGCAAUUCUUGGCGGACCCGUUUUCUAUUGAUGGAUGUAUCCCAUAGAAAGGUGUUAAUUAAAAUUUUUAAAAUUUUCCUUCAUUCACCUCUAUCCUUUAGUUUCAAUAAUUAAGAAAUGUUAUAUAUUGUGUUUAGGUUUCUAUCCAAAUUAAAGUCUUACUGCCGCAACAAGCGAUAUCCAGAAGGAUCAAUUGCAGAAGGCUACUUGGCAGAAGAAUGUAUGACCUUCUGCUCAAGAUAUUUGGAAGAUGUUGAAACAAGGUUAAACAGACCAAAUAGGAAUGCUGGACUCACGGACCAUAACUUAGCCGAUACUUAUUUGUUCCAAAGUUUUGGAGAACCAAUCGACAAAGUUGAAAUUGCAGAAUUAGAUCAUUUAUCGUGGGUACAAGCACAUCGAUAUGUUCUGUUUCACCACGAAUCAUUGGAACCUUUACGGAAGUAAGUUCUACAAAUUUGAUAAAUAUUUAUCAAACUAAUAAUUGUUUAUCUUCUAACAAAGUGAACAUUUUUUUAACAUAGUGAGUACAAACAAAUAUUGAGAUCUCGUUCGCGCUCCCGAAGAAUACAACAUCGAGAUAUCAAUAAGUUGUUUACAAAAUCUUUUUAUGAAUGGUUAAGCCAAACGGUAUGCAGUUCGAGCUUCCGCUUACAAAUAAUAAAAUCUGUUUUCUCAUAACAUUUUUAAUUACUCAGUUUACUUUCCAUUCAAUAGGUUUGGAGUGGGAAGAACGUAAACGACGAAGUUAAAUGGCUCUCCCAAGGUCCAAAUCGAGUGGUUAAAAGAUAUAGUUCGUUCCUCAUCAACGGAUUCAGAUUUCAUACAAAAUAUCGCGAGAGGUUGAGGAGAAUGCAAAAUUGUAGAAUAGUUGUCAAUUCUACAAUUACAAGUUAUGCUAGUGCAAGGGACAAUAAUCCUGUCGAGGGAAAUAUGGAAUAUUUCGGACAUCUUACUGACAUAAUUGAGUUGGAUUACUACGGCAAAUGGAAAGUUGUCUUAUUUCGUAGUGAUUGGGCCGAUGUUAAUACAACUCAUGGAAUUAAGCAAGAUCAAUUUGGUUUUACAAUGGUGAACUUUGACCGAUUGAUUCACACAGGACAACAACUGAUAGAUGAGCCGUAUGUAUUCUCAUCUCAAGUCAAACAAGUUUUUUACUCAAAAGAUCCAACUGAUGAGGGUUGGUACGUUGUACUCCGUAACAUCCCUAGAGACUUGUUUGACAUGGGCAGUGGAAGUAGAGAUAACAUCGACGACAGAUCAGAAACUUUGCCCUUUCCAGAACAAAACUUAAACGAUAAUAUCCCUAGUACUAGUGCACAAUUUCAAUGUGUUCGUCAGGAUACCGAUGAAGAUAUUUACGAAUAAUGAUGUAGUAAGAUUUUACGAUUGUUUAAUUAUAAGUAUUUUGUCAUAAUUUAAAUAUUGGUCUUAUUAUAUAUUUCAACUGUUUUAUAUGUGCUGUUAUUGUUGUAAUUAGUUAUUAAGUUGUCAACUAUUUUAUGUGUAUUGCAGAUAAAAUGCCUAGAAGAAAAAUUCUAAGGGGAAGCAUUGUUCAAAAUGAUCCAAACACGACAGAAACAAAUAGUACUGAACAACAGACAGCAAUUGGAUCUUCGAAUGUUCCGAUUACAGCUGAUGAUCCUACAGAAGUUCAAAGUAAUUUUACAUUUAAUUUACAUGUGUGUUGACUUAUAGUUGAUUUUUUUUUCAAAUUCUUAUAUUAUAAUAUACCAUUUGUAGCUGAAAAUGGUGGGAUGCGCAGAGGUCGAGGACGUACGCUACUUAGAGAGUUAUACGAGUUAGAUCCAGUCGAGCGUGUCAAAGUUGGACGAAACAGUUUUGGUCAGCCUGUUGGAUCAGAACCUCGACUUUUAGCAGGAUACAUGGGCAUUUUAGCACGAAAUCCGAAUAUGUUGCCUAUCAACUACGACUCAUGGCAUCAAAUGCCCGAUAGCAACAAAAACCAAGCCGUCGAUAAUAUUAAGGUAACAAAAUGUUAAUGUCAUCUGUAAUGCUUGGGAAAUAGUUUCAUUUAUAUUUACUUUAUUAACUUGUUUUUUUUAUUUUUUGUAGACGAGGUUUGCUUUAGAGGUCUCGGAUGCUUAUGUAAAGAAGGCAUUGGGAAAAAGAUGGAGAGACAAUAAAAGUACUUUGAAGAGAAAUUAUUAUAAGACAAAAACAACCCUUGAUGAGAAAUUACAAAAUGUCCCGCCGGGUAUGUUGAGGUACCAAUGGGAAGAUGCGGUUAGAUUUUAGCAUUCGAAGAAAGGCGAGGUAUGACGUACUUCCAAACUAUUGUAAUUAUUUUGGUAAAUAGUAUUUUCUAUUUACAUACUAAAAAUUUCAUAACGUAGGAUCGUGAACNNNNNNNNNNNNNNNNNNNNNNNNNNNNNNNNNNNNNNNNNNNNNNNNNNNNNNNNNNNNNNNNNNNNNNNNNNNNNNNNNNNNNNNNNNNNNNNNNNNNUGUAGCUGAGGCGGAGGUAUUUUUAAUUUUUUAAUAUUGUCGAAUAUGUAUAACUUUCUAUUAAAUAAUAUUUUUACUACUAUAUUGUAGGAACUGUCGUCCGGUCAAAAAGUUGGACGCCUUCAACUUUUUGAAAUUACACAUAGGAAGAAAGAUGGAUCUCCCAUGACUCCUGAAGCUGGUGAAAUAAUGGUACGUUUACUUAAUACGAUUUGACUUGUUUUAGUUAUUUAUAGUGUUUAUUUUCUAAUGGUUUAAUUCAUUGCUUGUAAUGCGACUAUUGUUAUGUUGCAUAUGUUUUUUAAUAUAUAAUAUUGCGUUCCUAACUAUGUGAUUUAUUUAUUAGGAAAAACUAAAGGAUAAAAAGGUGGAGUACGAAGCGAUUGCUUCUAGUGAUAGUUCUGUUCAUCUUGAAGACAUUGAUAAUCGGAUUAUUACUGAAGUUUUGGGUCCUGAAAGGUAUGGUCGGGUUCGAUUUCAAGGAUCUUUUGUUAGCCCAACCCAAUAUUUUGGAUCCAGCUCCCACCAAUACAUGGCUUCGGGGAGUCAGGCUCAAGCUGAAGUUCGGAGGUUAAAAGACCAGAUGGCUCAGAUGCAAGCGACCACAGUUGAGGUUCAAAGGAAAUAUGAAGAACUCCAGCUACAACUUAAAGCAGAGGCGGCAGCGAGGGAAGCAGCGGCUGCAGCGAGAGAAGCAGAGCAGACCAAAAAGUACAACGAACUCCAGCAGCAGCUUCAGAUUAUGAUGAAGAUGUUUCAGUCGCAACUUCCGCCUUCAUAGUGUAUGGCAUAAAUAUUUUUAUCAUUUUAUCAUUUAACAUUUUUGCAAAAUAAUAUGAAUUCACUUUUAUUUAUUGAUAUUAAUAUUAUUUUAUUCGUUUAAUUUGAAAUAUUAUAUAAAUUUAUUGCUUUUGGCUAUUUUAGAUCUGGUUGCUUUUGAUUUGUUGUUACAGGAGGGCUGAAAAAAUGAAAAAUUUAAUAAAAAAAUCCCAAAAAUAGUGGCGUUUUUGUAUAAAAACGCCGCUAAAGACCGUGUUCUUUAGCGGCGCUUAGAAAAAAACGCCGCUAAAGAACAUGGUCUUUAGCGGCGUUUUUUUUUUGUAAACGCUGCAAAUGUUUGUGACGUUUUCCUUAGCGGCAUUUAGUGGCGUUAAAAAGCGCUGCUAAAGGCUUAAAAAAACGCCGCUAAAGACCUGUUUUGGUGUAGUGGUGUUAAAACGCAUUAUCCUCUUAUUUAUGAAUUAGGAAGUAGUUAUUGGUAGUUCUAGACAUUGCGUAGAAAAUAAUAGAUAUGAUGAGAAUCUAUAUUGAAACUUUUCGAAAAAAUAUAUUUAUUACACAUGAACUAAAAGAAAUUUCUUUAUGGGUAGUUCAAGAAUAUUGUUGAAGCUAUAAAAUAAAAAUUCAAUUGGAAAAUAGAAAUCUCUUUUGUUUAACAAAAUAUUAAUCAUUGAUUGAGUUAAUAUUAUGAGUCAAUCGGACACCAAUUUAAUUAAGAAAUUACAAAAAUAUCAUUCCAUAAUUAAAAUAAAUUAUAUUAUUUGAGGAUAUUUUAAUAUUUUUAUGUCAAAAAAAUCAAUAAAAAUAUAUAUUUAUUUUUCACAAAUAUAUUAUUCUAUCAAUUUUCAUCAACCAAAAAAAAAGUAAUUAAAGUAAAAUUUACCUUUGAUAUACCAGAUGAUUUCAAAGAGAAUGAUUAUAUCAAUGAGUUUAACAAUUAAAAAAUAUAUUUUUUUCAAAGAUUUUAUAAUAUCAAAAAUUUUAAAAAUUUUAUAUAAAAAUUAAAUAAAUAUUUUAAAUGAUAUUUGGACCAAUUUUAAUAAUUAGUUUAUAAUUUAGAGUUGUAUAUAAUAUGGCUGAUAUAUAUAAUGUCUUGGUCAAGUCAUGGUUUUAUAUAUGUUUAUUUGUGAGCCCUACACUCACAUCAAAUUUAGAUAUCACAAACAUGAUUUAAAAUAUUAUUAACUGUGAGCAAUUUAAAGAAAUUUAAUUUCUUUUUUACAAUUUUAAGUUAAUCAAUUAUUUGAUUUUUUUUAGGGGCGAAUUCAGAAAAGUUUUUUAGGGGCCGAAAUGAAUUUUUAAUUUUUAUUAGUCUAUAUAUUUAUAUUUUUAAAGGAUUAAAUUAAAAUUUUUAUAAUUUUAGGGGGGCCAAAAUGUAAUUUUAUCUCUACUAAUUUAAAACUUUAAAAUUUUUUAAAGGACCUAAAUAAUAAUUUUUCAUUUUAAGGGGGCCGGGGCCCCUACCAACCCUUUAGAUUUGCCUCUGAUAUAUAUAUUAUUUAUGUUUUGCAACUCAAAAUUUAGUCAUAUUAUCAAUAAUAUUUUAAUAUGAAAAAUUUACUUUUUAAAAAAUUUAUGUUGAACAAACUUAUUUAGCUUGUCUCAAUUAAAUUAAAAAAAUUAAAAUCAAAUUAGAAUAAUAAAAUAAUACCCAUUUACGCGAUUGAAUCUAAUACUCACCUCUCAAUAUUACACCUUUUGAAUCUUCCUAGAUCAUAAAAGGGGAAGUUAUCCUUGGCGUGUGUGUUUUAGUGCUCCUUAUUUCCUUUAAAAACAGAGUUUAUUUUUUCCUUUUUUAUAGAAAUGAAUUGAUAUUUAAACUGCAAAAGAAGAACCACUAUUUGAACAUGUAUAAAUUAAUAUUGUACGCAAAUAUAAACUUUAAUACCAAUUAGAGAAGUAAAAUAAGAUAUUGGUGAAUCAAAUUUAUUAAAUAAUUUAUAUACAGAAUGGAUGAUAUAAUAUUUCUGAAGUCUUCCCUUGGUUGACCAUAAAAGGAGAAGUCAUUGUUUUGUUUUUUGGUAUUUAUUUGUGACCCCUACACACACAUCAAAAUCACAUAUCAUAAACAUUGAUUUAGAAUUAAACUAUAUAAUAUUAGACCUUUUGUAAUCUUCCUAUUGUUGACCAUAAAAGGAGAAGUCAUCCUCUUCUGUCUUUUGUCCCCUUCAACUCUGUGGCUAAUUAUGUCAAAACAAGGUUUUUUUUUCCCUUCUUUGGUAGGAAUUAAAUUAAUAAAGAUUAUUGUAAUUUAAAAUCCAAUUAAAGUUACUAUUUGAACUGGUAUGAAUUAAUAUUGUUAUGUCUAACAUUUAUAUCCAAUAAUUUUUACUAUAGAGAAAAGAAGUAAGAAAAUAAUAUAUGAUGUAAAAUUGUUAAUUUGAGUCUUAACACAGUCGGUAUUUGUAUGUUGUUUAUGUAAUUUUUCUUUCUAGUUAAAGGUUGGAGAGGAGUUAGGGUGAAGCUAGAAAUUUCUUUUUUUGGGAGACGAAAUUAAGUUGUAUAUUUUUACAAGGGUUAAAAUAUAAUUUCACCAUUUCAAUAGCUUAUAUCUUUACAAUUUUUAAUGGACUAAAUCAAUAUUUUAUCAUUUUUAGGGCUAAAGUACAAUUUUACUAUUUAUUAACUUAAAAUUUUAUAAACUUAAUUUAAAGGGUUAAAUUUUAAAUUUCACAUUUUAAGGGGAGGGAUAGAACCCUGCUAGGCUCCCCUCUUGCCGCCCCUGAGAGGAUAUAAAGUAAAGCCAUAAGGGUCUAAAAUAUAUGAAUUAUGAGUACUUAUUACACUUGACCAAUUGCUUUUCUUCAAACAAAACAAAAACUAAUGCACAUGAAAAUGCAAAUUCACAUGCAACCUAGAUAUGCAUUCUAUAUACAAUGCAAUGCAAUAAAUAAAUAAACAAAUAUUAUUUAACGAUGGAGUUGCCUCUCCGUAAGCACCUUUGUUUAACAUUUUCUACUAGAUGUUUUUAAAUGUUAUUUCACCAUAGAAUGAUUCGGAUAACAUCUUGACUUAGUAAAAUUGAACAUUAGGAACAACUUAAAAGUCGAGGGAACUUGAGAGUUUUGAUCCCCUUUUGGUUCUUUAACCAACCAUUCUCACCCCUAAUUAUAAUUCCAAUACAGUAAAAGUACGUGAUUGAGUUGAAUGGAUGGUGGUUGUUUGACAUAAUAUGUAGAAAGUGAAAAAAUAGUUGAAAAUAAAUCAAGUAUUAAAACUAAAAGUUUAUGAAAGAAAUUCUAGUAUUAUCAAUUUUUCGUGAGGCUCAAAGCUAUUUGGAACAAAAAUAAAAUCAAUGUGUAUAGGCUUAACAAAAUAGCUAUUAUCUUGCAUUGUUAUUUCAUCCUAACCUCUUCCCUCAUAACUUCAUCUUCUAUUUUCUGUUCGACUUUAUCAAAAGUCUCAAGAAUUUCCUCCUCGUCCUUUUUAACUUCAACGAAACUUUCUAGGGAAGGAAGCUCUAUCGUGAAUGACUUCGGUUCUAGUCAAAGUAAAACAUAGUUUUUUUAGGUUUUUCGACUAUUUAUGCAUCAAACUUUUAGGCCAUUUUGGACAUCUUCCUAAUGUUUUUAGGCUUUAAUCUGUGAAAUAAAUUUAGAUAAAUCUUUCAAGUCACAUCAACAUUUUAUUAAUGAUUUAAUAAAUUAUUAAUAAAAAGAUUUAAGGUUAAUGUACAAAUUUGUCACUAUACUUCAAUUUGAUUGAUAUUUGAUAUUGAAUUUUAUUGCUUUACUUUAAUUUAAUUGAAUUUUGCCACUAAAGUAAGAUUUUUUUAUUGAAUUUUCUAUUCAAUUUAAUUUUAAAAUAACUUGAAGGCUAAAUUGAAUAAAAAUAGUUUUAUAUUUCGCUUUUAUAUUUAAUAAUUAUCCUCUCAUCCAUGGCAAGGUGCGGAAAUUUGCAGAAUAUAGAAAUGGAGUGAAGAAAAACCGCUUUAGCAGACGAUAUGAUUAUGUUAAGGAUAUACUGAAGUGUUUGAUUAUUUUUUCCAGAUGGAGUGUUUGACAUUUUAUAUCACUUAAUUAUUUUGGAUUUAUAUGUGAUGUCAGCGUCUACACGUAUACAUGUGAAUGUCACCUAUUCGAAAUUAAGAAAUAGUAAUUAUAUUUAAUAAUUAAAUUCAUAUUUAAUAUAUAUUUUUGAUCUAAUUUUUUAAUUCAAUUUAAUUUUAGUUAAAACGUUUAAAACAUUUAUUUAAUCUAAUUUCUUUAAUAUAUUAAAUAAAUUGGAUUAGAAAAUAUAUUAAAUAUGGAUGAAUACUAUAUCUCUAAAAAUUAAUAUAUUAUUAUUUUAUUGGUGCUUAAAAAAAUUAAAAUAUUAAGAAUCAUUUUAAUAUAAGUUAUUCCCUUGAUAAUAAUAUUUGGUAUUUCCACGAGUAAGUUCAAUAGUUGACAAAUAUUUUAUAUAAGUACAAUAAAAUAUUUAAAAAAGUUAUUUAGUGACUUAAUUUUUUAAGAAUAUUUGAUAAUUCAUAAAGAAAAUAAAUAAUAUUUUAAAAAAAAAGAGUGAAAAAUGAUAAGUAGAUAAUAGCUAUUAUCACUUACAACAUGUUUGGAUUAAAAAGAAGAAAAAAGGAGGGAAAAUUAAGUAAAUUGAGGGAAAGAAAAUUCGGUUUCUUUGUUUAAGUUAAGUAAAGUUGUUAAUUUUUUAUUAGAUUUUAUAUUUUAGAUUAUUAUCUCUUCUUCUUCUUUUUUUAGCUUGUAACAACCUUAUUUUUAUUUUCUAUUUGUUUAGGUUACUAGAAAUAUUUAAUUUUAAAUUUGUUUGAUAUAUAUUUUUAAAAAUUUUAACAAUAUUUUUUUAUUAACUAUUUUGUUAAAUUAUUAGGAAUCCUUCAUUUAUAAUUUGGUUAAGAUAUUUUUUUAGUUUGAUAAAAUAAGCUUAUUAAAAAAAAGAGAAUAUACCAAUAUAUUAUUGGUUAACAUUUUAAUUAUUAUUUUAUAUAGAAUAUUGAUAUUUUUCUAUAAUUUUAAUUUGCUGUGAUUUAAUUUUGUUAUUAUAUAUUAUUUAUGAACUGUUAAAAUUAAAAAAAAAUAAAAGUAAAAUAAUUCAUUUUCUUUCCUUUUCAUAGUUUAGUAAAACAAGUCCACAAGCUCGCCUCAUUUGAAAAAAAUUAAAUUGUUUAAAUAUAUUUAUCUAUAUAUAUAUAGGGACUAAUUUUAACAAAUGAAAAACAUAGAAAAACUACAUUAAAAGAAAUGGAAAAGGGAAGAAAACAAAAGGAGAAGCAGAAGAGAAUGAAAUAUAAAGGAAAGUUAAAAGAACAUAAAAAAAUUAAAUUAAAUUGCUCAAAACGAAAAAAAUAUGGGGAUUAGUUGCAUAAAUCAUCCUAAAAUUUUUGUUUGAAAGAUGAUUUAACAUGUCACAUCAGCUUAUUGUUACACGGUUAACAAAAAUUAAUAGCUCAGUGACUAAAAUGUUAUAACGUGAUAACGUAAGUGACUAAAAUGUAACAUUUCAAACAUAAAUAACUAAAAUGUAAGCAAAAGUGGCUAUUUUAAUAGUUUACCCUAACAUUUAUCCAAACAUAAGCUUAAUGUAAACAUUUUUUCAAUUAUUUUUAUUUUAUUUUAUUUUUUACCAUUAUCCUUUAUCCUUAUUUUAAAAAAAAGUAUAAUUAUUUUUCAAAAUUAAUUUUAAGCAAUACAUCAAAUAGAUUUUAUAACUUAAAUGUAAUAUUUAAUUUUAUAAUAUUUUUUUAUCAAACAACGUUUACUCCUAAGUAAAUAAAUAAAUAAAGGCCUUGUGUAAUUAAGAAAGUUGAGAAAUGGCUAAUCCUCACAUGGCAAAAAUUGGCUACAAUAAUGAAGGAAAGAGAAAAACACUUAGGAAUGUCAAUGAGCAUACCCCACACACAUACUAUUUACUGUCAACGGUGAUGGAUGAAUUGUCUACUAUACAUGGAUUUUUUUUUUUUUUUGGUUCUUGUCCUGUAUUAUUUGGAUUUGUGAUCCCAUGUAAAAUUCCAGUCACUAUUUCAUCGCAUUUAAAAAAAAUUAUUUAUUAUCAAUUGAGUAUUAACUUGAUUGGUAUAAGUAUUAUUGUCAAUGUAUGAGAACAUAGGUUCGAGUGUAUUAAAGCUCAUUAUCUUUUUAUUUAUGGAUUAGAAAGUGAUUAUUGGUAGUUCUAAACAUUGUGUUGAAAAGAAUAGACAUAAUCAGAAUCUAUGUUGAAAUUUUUCAAAAACAAUUAUUUAUUACACAUUAAUUAAAAGAAAUCUCUUUAUGGGCAGUUCAAGAUUGUGAAGUUAUAAAAUAAAAAAUUCGAUACGAAAACAAAAAUCUCUUUUGUUUAACAAAAUAUUAAUCAUUGAUUGAGUUAAUAUUAUGAGUCAAUCAAACAUCAAUUUAAUCAAGAAAUUACGAAAAUAUUAUUUUAUAAUUAAAAUAAAUUAUAUUAUUUGAGGAUAUUUUAAUAUUUUAUGUCAAAAAAAUCAAUAAAAAUAUGAAUAUGAUGGGAUUUGAAAUAAAAUCUUGAAUUUACCACUCAACCAAAACUUUAUUUUAUCAUAUUUUAUACAUUUUUAUUUUAAUACGCACAAUUUAUUAUCUUCAUCAGUUGUAUAUAUAUUAAUAAAUUUAUUGAUUGAGUUGAUAUCACAAGUCAACUCGACACUAACUGACAAUUGACGACAACACUUUGAUAGACAGUUGUAUUGCGUUUAAUUAGUAUUUUUAAUUUGAUGUAUUUAUAUGUUUAAAUUUUAUUUUUGCUCCCAAAUUAAUUUAAUUUUUUAUUUUAAUGCCAUACAUAUUUUAUAUAUUCUUAUAAUUAAUUAUCUUGAAACCAUAUGUUUCAUUAUUUACUUCUUUCUUUUAAGCAUGCAUCUGUGUUUCAAAUCUAAACAUGGUUGAUUAUGUUAAUUAAUGUUACAAAUUGAGAAAUUUAUUAAAAGUAUUGAAAGAUGUUGGAAGAUGCUAUUGAUCUUCUUCAAGUGGUUUUUCACAAAUAUAUUAUUCUAUCAAUUUUCAUCAACCAAAAAAAAAAGUAAUUGAAGUAAAAUUUACCUUUGAUAUACCAGAUGAUUUCAAAGAGAAUGAUUAUAUCAAUGAGUUUAACAAUUAAAAAAUAUAUUUUUUCAAAGAUUUUAUAAUAUCAAAUAUUUUAAAAAUUUUAUAUAAACUUAAAUAAAUAUUUUAAAUGAUACAAUUCGACCAAUUUUAGUAAUUAGUUUAUAAUUUAGAGUUGUAGAUAAUAUGGCUGAUAUAUAUAAUGUCUUGGUCAAGUCAUGGUUUUAUAUAUGUUUAUUUGUGAGCCCUACACUCACAUCAAAUUUAGAUAUCACAAACAUGAUUUAAAACAUUACUAGCUGUGAGCAAUUUAAAGAAAUUUAAUUUCUUUUUUACAAUUUUAAGUUAAUCAAUUAUUUGAUUUUUUUUAGGGGGCCGAAAUGAAUUUUUAAUUUUUAAUGGUCUAUAUCUUUAUAUUUUUUAAAGGAUUAAAUUAAAAUUUUUAUAAUUUUUGGGGGGUCAAAGUGUAAUUUUACCUCUACUAAUUUAAAACUUUAAAAUUUUUUAAAAGACCUAAAUAGUAAUUUUUCAUUUUAAGGGGGCCGGAGCCUUACCAACCCUUUAGAUUUGCCUCUGAUAUAUAUAUUAUGUAUGUUCUUUAAAUCAAAAUUUAGUCAUAUUAUCAAUAAUAUUUUAAUAUGGAAAAUUUACUUUUUAAAAAAUUUAUCUUGAACAAACUUGUUUAGCUUAACUCAAUUAAAUUAAAAAAAUUUAAAUCAAAUUAAAAUGAUAAAAUAAUACUCAUUUACUCGAUUCGAUCUAGUACUCACCCCUCAAUAUGACACCUUUUGAAUCUUCCAUGACAGAAGUUAUCCUUAGUGCUCCUUAUUUCCUUUAAAAACAAGGUUUAUUUUUUCCUUUUUUAUAGAAAUGAAUUGAUAUUUAAACUGCAAAAGAAAAACCACUAUUUGAACAUGUAUAAAUAACUUGUAGUUGAUAGUUAUAUACAGAAUGGAUGAUAUAAUAUUUCUGAAGUCUUUUGGUAUUUAUUUGUGACUCCUACAAAUUAUAUAUAAGAAAUUCUAGUGUUAUCAAUUUUUUGGAGGCUCAAAGCUAUUUGGCAUUGUUAUUUCAUCCUAACCUCUUCCCUCGUAACUCCAUCUUCUAUUUUCUGUUAGACUUUGAGAGUUCAAUUACGAAAAGGGAAGUGUUUUUUUCGGCUCUUAAUGUAAUUGAUAGUAGGCUAGGAAAUAAAGAUUAUUCGUUUGUUUGUUUAAGCCUGAUUUUGACUUGUGUACUAUAAUUAAAUUAUCACACUAAUAUAUUUUUAUCAGUUUGAUUUAUGUACUUUCAUUCUAUAUACUUCGUUAUCUUAUUUAUAUUUUUUAGAAAAAAAAUUUUCUAUCUAAUUAAAUGCUGUCACCUAUGAAAAAAUUUAAAAUUCCACUAAAGUAUAUAAAAAUUCAUAAAAAUCGUAAAAAAAAUAAAAAAAAAAGCAUAAAACUCUAAAGAAAUUAAUAAAAUUUUAUAAGCACAAAUUUCCAAAAAUAAAAUUAAAAUAUUUUAUUAAAAUUUUUAAAUUUUUUAAAGUUUCAUAUAUUUAUUGUUUAAAAAUUAUAUCAUUUUCAAAAAAAGAUUAUGAAUUUUUUUAGGUAUUUUAAAAAUAUUUUUCUAAGUCUUAAGAUUUUAUUUUUUGCAUUUUAUGAUUUCUUUUUUGGAUUUUUAAUGGUUUUUAAAAUUUUAUAAUAUUUUCUAAAAUGUUUUAACUAUUUUGGUCGUCCAGGUUUUGUGAAUGAAGCGAAGGGUAUCUUUAUUGUGGUGAACUUUUAAUUUACUCAAAACGAAGUGAUUUAUUACGUUGUGUGAUUUGCAGAUAAGUGUUAAAUAUGAAAUGUGUAAGGCCCAAUAUUUGCCCGGCCCGUAAUAAACAAACCAAAUCAAAAUUUAAAAAGUCCAAAGUCCAAAAUUACAAAAAUCUAUCAGACCCAAAAUAUAAAUCGAGCCCAUUUAUAAAUGGCCCAGUACAAACCCAAAUUACAGCUAGCCCAAUAGCCAAAACCAGCCCAGAUUUUUUCAUUUUGCAGAAACCCUAAACAGUUUCAGAGGUACCAGGCGCCGCAGCCAAGCCCUCGCACAUGCCCCACGAACCACGCUUCCAACGCCUCUCCCCACAUACACCUAGCCACGUCCCUGACACCGUACGGCCGUACCUGCAGCAAACGCAAACGAAAAACGCAGCAGAGAAAGAAACUGUAUUUUUCAUUUUUAUUAUUUUAAAACGAAGGGAUAUAAAACAGGAGAAACCUUUUGUAUUUGAGGGGGGAUUGAUACGCAAUAUCAACACACGCAUAUUGUAUCAGAAAAACGAAAUCAAUACAGAAGAAAGGUUUUCUUUUUCUCUUUUCUCGAUUGGGUUCCUUUUUCUUUGGCUUUUCAUUUUUCUGUUUUGCUGUUAGCCCUAUACAUAAGCAUAUGCAUAUAAUAAAAGGGAAAGGAAGUACUUACCUCGGUGACCCUGUCGUCGUUCUCAUCGGUUUCGUGGAUACCAGAGAGGCUAGGUAUGGUUUUAGCCUGAGAACGGCGCGAGGGGAGAGGGGAAAGGCAAAGUUUUUUUUCUGCUGUUUUUUUAGUGGCCGAAUAACCUUGUUUAGGGUUUUAAAAUUGGUUUUUUUGGGGUGUUGAAACGGCGUCGUUUGGGGCCUGAAUCAGUGGCCACCAAAACGGCGUCGUUUCGCGCUUAGUCCCUUGCCUUUAAAGCGCAUCCAAAUCAAUCUUUUUAUUUUUUUAGAUUUUGCCUGAUAUGUCACUGUUGUUUCAUUUUGGUCCCUUCUGCCAAUAUGCGUUUUGAAGGGCGGGGAAUAUUUCCCAUUUAAUCCCUCAUGUAAUGCGCAGGCUUCAUUUUGCCUUUUAAUUUCCUUUUAAUUUAUUUUCUUUUUUCGAUUAAGCAUUAAAUCCCUUUUAAUCUCUAUUUUAGUUUGUUCAUAUUAAUUAAUUUAAAUAUUUUGGUUCUGUUUUCUUUAAUAUAUUUCAGUUUAAUCUAAUGUUAUUUUAAUAAUUCAACUUAUUAGUAUAAAUUCAUUAUUGGUAUUAUUUAAAUCUAUUGAACCAUUAUUCUAAAAGUUCUCUUUCGUGUGUUAUUUUAAGUUUUCAUAUAUUAUUAUUAAAAUUUAAUACUUAUUAUUUUUAUGAUAACUAAAUAUAAUUUGUACAAUUCUAUAGUUUUAUAAUAUUUAUUUUUAAAUUUAUUGGGAUACUAUUAUUUUAUGAAGUAUUUGUUUUUAAUUAUAUUUUUCAUUUAUUUCAAACUUUCAUGUGUAUAUAUAUUAUUUUAAACUUAUUUUAAUAUAUAAUUUCCCUUCUUUUAUGUUACUUUUUUUGUUUUUGUUAUUUAAAAAAAAAACUUGUUACAUUUUAUUUAAUUCGCUUGUUACCCUUUUUUAAUAAUAACUUUUUAAUUCAUUUUGCUUGCUAAUAUGGAUGUUAGUAUUUGCAUAAUGUAGGAUAUAAAAUUGUUGCUCUUUUGUAUAUGAUAUUGUUUAUUCAUAUAUUAAAUUUUUGUUAUUCAUUAGUGUAUGCUUUAGUUUACGAAUAAUCAAUUCGCAUAGUACAUUAUUAUACGAUCGUUUUUAUUUAUUCAAAAGAUUACAAAUUACAAAGUUAUUCUAUUCAAAAACUUUCAAAAAUACUCGAAGUUUGAAAUCCUCGAGAGAAUUGAGCCCUAACGUAUUGGGUUCCAAUUUUCUUCGUCGAAUCUAAAUAAUUGAACAUUUUUUAACAUACAAAUUUCAAAUAACCCAUUCUCGGGAAUUCAACACGUUGUGUCCUAACGUAUUGGAUAUGACAUGUUAUUUUCUCGAGAUGAGGAUUUUAAAAAAAUAAUAAAUAAAGGCAAUGUUCGGUAUUUGGGAAUUUGGUGAAAUCGAACCCUAACUUACUGGGUUUUGAUCUUCUCUUUUGGCCCAAAUAAUUAGAUAUCCUUCUCAAAAUGCAUAGUUUUAAAAAUCAAAUUUAACUUCAAAAUAAAAGGAUUGUAUUUUAAAAUUUUUUCAAAAUCUCGACAUUAAGACAUUGAACAAUCAAUUUGGUACCAAUUUUGGGCGUAUCGAGGGUGCUAAUCCUUCCUCGUGCGUAACCGACUCCCGAACCUGUUUUUUUGAAUUUCGUAGACCAAAACCGUUGUUUUAAUAAAAUCAAAUCGUUUAUUAAAAACAACCACUUUUUAAGGUGAUCCGAUCACACCUUAUCAAAAAAAGAUUGGUGGCGACUCCCUUUUUCCGUUUUCGUUUUCAAAAUCCAAGUCGACCCCGUUUUCAUCAAAGAAAUGGUGUCUACAAAAUGAAUUGUUGAAUUUGAAAACAAUGGUUUAAUAUUGCAGGGAUUUCCAGCAUUAUCAUAAAUUUUAGUGAAUUUAGAGACGAAAUCAGAGUUCCACUGAGUUUUGUUCAAAUCUGGGGAUUUCAUCGUCAUAUAGGGUCGAUUUGGAUAUCUAGGAUACAAAGCUUCAUAUCAUUGAUGUUCGAUGGCCAUGGGUAUAUGUUGAUUUUGAGUUUAUCGUUGCCCCAUAAGUUGGUUGCACUAAAAAAAAUGGGUAUUACCAAUGCUAAAAAUUGUUACUAAAAUUUUAUUGUAGCAAUAAAAGUUGUUGCGGGAUUGUUGUGUAUAUUUUCGUUGUUUAAAGUAUACGCAACUCUACUCAAUUAUGUAAUAUCUACUCUUAAAUAUGGUCUAUUUAACUACAUAUUUAAGCACAUCAAACACAAAUUAAUAAUUUAGAAAUAUCAAACCAAGAAUUAAUCACACAUAAUUGGGAACAAUAAACUAAGUAUUUAUUGCAUAAAAUAAAAAAAUGAUAGAAUCCAUCAUAGGGUUCAUUUCCCUAGGUAUUUAGAAAAUUAGUUCAAGCUUGAAAAUAAAAACAUCCAAGAUAUAGUAUAACCGAAAGAAAUAAAAAAAUUCAUGAUAAUCUCCUAGGAAAUCAACUGAGAAUCUUCAAUCUUGACGUAAAUUUGUUUUCAAGAUGGCUUCAAUGGCAUUUUUCGAGUUGCUUUCUUGAAUAUUUUAUGACGGCUCUCUCAUAUAUCUUCUUAAUUUUUCACAUAUACGUUUCAUAAUGCCCCAAAAAUCUAAAAAUCUUGAUUUUACAUUGUUUGUGUGGCAAUUCCAUGAAAUUGACAUAGCCUACCACACACUCGUGUGGGUCACAUGACUAUGUGGUUUGCUCAUGUGAAAUUUAGAAAAUGUAAAAGAUUCAAAUAUGUAUGCAUCCGUAUAUUGCAUAUAUUGUUGGGAUGUUAGACAAACAUUUAAGCAACUCUAGUAUAGGCCAUUAGAUAACAACCAAGAGGGUUAUGAGGUAUCUUUAGAAAACAAAAUAUUACAUGCUCACAUAUUGGAUGUUUGAUAAGUUAGAGAACAUCAAGUAUACAAACUCCAAUUUUGAUGAAAUAUUGAUGCAAAAUUUUGUCACUAGAGUGCAAAUUGUAACAAUAGUUAGUAGUCUUUUAUUCCAAUUGUACAAGCCCAAAUUUGCCCGAGGCCCAAAAACCCAAUACACCCAAACCUCAGCCUAAUUACAAUAUUUAACUCAGCAGACCCAACCCAACACCGAUGACCCAAACCUCAAUCCAAUAGCACCUAGCCCAACAAGAUUAAACCCAAACCCGAGGCCCAAUAUCCAACCCAAAAAAAAUGAAGGCCCAGUAGCCCAAAAUGUUUGAGACUUUUUCAGAAAAAAUGAAACCCUAGCCUACUGCCUAACCCUAGCCGCCUUUGCCUCCUCUGACAUCUUCUAGUCUGGCUGCCGCUCGUAGCCUCUGCCACCGCCACCUCUGACGCCGAGCCGCCCAUCAAUCACCUACUCCAUCAACGUCAACACCUGCAAACAAGAGAAAAAGCAAUAGCAAAUAAUAGCAAAAAUAUUGUAAAAAAUGGCUAUAAAGCCAUAACCACCACUGUAAACGGGGUUCUUCCCCCCCUCCCCCCGAUUUUUGUAUAAAAAAAUAUUAGCAGGGAAAUAAAGGAAAAAAGAUUGAAGGUGAUUUUUUCUUUUCUUUUCUUUUCGGUUUUGUAGACCCGUUUUUCUGUUCUCUUUUCUUUUUUCGUUUACACGUAUGUAAAUAAAGGUAGUAAAUAAAAGGAAAGAAUGAAGACUUACCCAUUUCGCCUUUCGGUUACGCCGCCGUCGGGGUCUGCUCAUAAUUGAAAUCGGCCCGAAAGGUCGAGUUAGGGGGUCCUUUGUCUUGAUUUUCGGGCCAAACGAAUCUAGCCUUCGAUUGGGUCUUAAAACGGGGACUAGAAUGCCCAUUUUGCGCAACGCCGGCCACCGUCCACGAUGGCGCUAUGGCGGUGCUAAGAAGACCCAAAGGCCGAACGUUUGAGAGGGAUGAGGAAAUGUUUUUUUUGUUUUUUUUUAAAAUUAGUGGCUGAUAUGUUUUUUUUUUUGAAGAAAAUAUGGCUUAAAUACUAUUUUCGAAAUAGCAUAGUUUCAAUUUGGCCCUCCAGAUGCCAAAACGGCGUCGUUUUGAAAGGGGCCGGUUCUACUCGACCCGUUUGGCCAGGAUCCGCGUGUUUUAGCCUUGAGGGGUUAUUUAUGCGGGGAGUCCCUCCGCUUCUGCAGCGUAGCCGAUAUGAUCCUUUUUGGUCUUUUUGUUAUUUGGCCCGCGAAUUUUGCCUCUAUUUCGAUUUGGUCCUUAGACCAUGUGCUGCCCCUAGUCGAAACGCAGCAUUUUAGGACUGGGAAAUAUUUCCCCACAAGUCCCUCACGCUUUAAGCGCGUUUUACUUCAGUCAUGCACUAUUCCUUUUGUUUGUUUGCAUAUUUAAACCCCGAAGUUCGUUUCAAGUUUUAAUUUAGUCCUUUUGUAUUUUGUUUAUUUUCUUAUUAAGUAAUAAAUUUGAUGUUAUACUGUUAUUAUUAAUUAUAAUAAAUAUUAUUUGCUCAUUUUUACCUUUAGAAUUUCAAAUUUUAUCAUAUAUAUUUGUAUAUACUUAUUUUGAUAUUUUAUAAUUUAUAUCUAUAUAUCUAUAUACAUAUUUAUACAUAUAUACACAUACCUAUAUGUUUUAUAUUUUCAUAUAGUUUUUAUAUACAUAUAUAUUCUUAUAUGCACAUGCUUAUGUUUUUUUAUACUUUAUAUAUAUAUAUAUAUAUACACCUAAACAUGCAUAUUUUUUUAUAUGUACAUACAUUCAUAUAUUUUAUAAUUUAAGUACAUAUACAUAUAUAUGUACAUAAACUUUAUUAUUAUUAUUAUUUUGUAAUUUAUAUUGUUAUUAAUUGUUUUAUUUGAUAUUUAUUUAUUUGCUCAUCUUUAUUUUUAUGAAAUGCUUUAGUUCUUUUUACAUUAUUUUUAUGAAAUGCUUUAGUUCUUUUUACUUACUCAUUAUUUCAUGUAUAAUUGUUUUUUUUAUAUAUGUGUCCUUUUUAUUGUUGCUCGUAUUAUUUUACUUACAUUAUCAUAAUUGUCAUUCCAUUACGUCAAUUUUCACCCAAAUUCAAAAAAAAAAAUUUUAAAAAUAUAAAUAAUACUCGGUAUUUGGGAUCUUCGAGAGAAUCGAGCCCUAACGUAUUGGGUUCCGAUUUUCUUCGUUGAAUCUAAAUAAUCGAGACUACUCUUUUUUAUAUAUAAAAAAACAUAAAUAAAAGCUCAUUAUCGGGAAUUCAAUACGUUGUGUCCUAACGCAUUGGAUAUGAUACAUUGUUUUCUCGAGAUGAGGAUUUUUCUAAAAAAAUAAAAAUAAGGCAAUGUUUUGAGUUUGGGAAAUUCAAGAAAACGUGCCCUAAUGUGCUGGGUUUCGAUUUCUCGUUUAGCCAAAUAUUCUCUUAAAUCUUAAUCUAUGUCAUUUAAGUUUUUUUAGGAUUGUAUUUUAAAUCUCUUUAAAGUUUUCAGUUUUUCGACACUAAGAUAUUAAGUAAUCAACUAGGUACCAAUUUUGGGCGUAUCGAGGGUGCUAAUCCUUCCUCGUGCAUAACCGACUCCCGAACCCAUUUUUCUAAAUUUCGUGGACCAAACUUGUUGUUUUAAUAAAAUCAAAUCAUUUAUUAAAACAACCACUUUUUGAGGUGAUCCGAUCACACCUUAUCAAAAAAGAUUGGUGGCGACUCCCACUUUCGUUUUCAUUUUUCAAAACCCAAGUCGACCCCGUUUUAUCAAAAAAAUGGUGCCAACAGCUUGGCGACUCCACUGGGGACCCAAGAACGAGAGUCAAGCCACGAGUUGAUUAUUUUUUUAUUUUUUUGUCGAAAAUCAAAAAAUUGGUUUAAACAUACGAUCCUUUCGUUGCAUUUCAUUCGUCUUUAUUAUGAUCUUCAUCAUUAUAGUUUAUAAUUGUUGUGUUAGUUUAAGUUUUGGUAUCAAUCUGUACAUUGCAUUGCAUAACCGUUGGUCACACCCUUCUUAGUGGGAGUGAGAAACUACGCUUUCGUGAGGUUUUCACCUCCGCAUAGGAUAGUGAAUCGCUUCUGGUAUAUAUCCGUACCUAUGUUUUCGUGAGAUUUUCAUCUCCGCAUGGCCAUAGGGAAAUGUAUUCCCCUGAACUGAACUCAGUCUGCAUGAGCCUAUAAUGGGUCAGGACCGAGGAAUCUGCUGGUUCAGGUACCCUUACUUUAGAGCCGAACAGCAUGUAAUGAGCCCUAGGAGCCUACCCUAGGUAGAACCACACCAAAUACCUAGAGGUCACCUGAAAACUUGGUUUAAAUUUACGAUCAUUUUGUUGUAUUUCGUCCGUUUUGGUAUGAUUUUCAUUACUUCGGUUUGUAAUUACUCUAUUGGUUUGAAUUCUCGAUAUGUUUCUGCGCAUUGCAUUACAUGACCACUCAGUUACACCCUUUUAAGUUUGAGUGAGAAGCUACUCCUUCGUGAGGUUUUCACCUCUGUGCAGGAUAGUGGAUCACUUUUGGGAUACAUCUGUACCUAUGUCUUCGUGAGAUUUUCAUCUCCGUGCAGCCAUAGGGAAAUGUAUUCCCCUGAACCGAACUCGGUCCGUAUGAGCCUAUAAUGGGUGAAGAUCGAGGAAUCGGCUGGUUUGGGUACCCUUGCUUUAGAACCAAACCACAUGUAGAAGACCUUAGGAGCCCACCCUAGGUAUAACUACUUUGAACCCCUAGUAGUUACCCUAAUAUGUGCUCUUUUUGUUUUUUUUUCUUGUUUACUUUUGCUUUGUACUAACCUGUUUUGUUUUGGUUAUAACUGCAUUGCAUUUUCAUCAUAGAAAAGAGGUGUUGAUUCAAAUUUGAUUGCUAAAUAGAAAAGCUUGUCAUGGAAAACGAAUUUCUUGAUAAAGUAGAAUAUGAUGCGACUGUCUGAUUAUGGACUAAUUAAACACAACAAGAGAAGGUUAGAAGUUUGUGGAGGAAUAUACGACUAUGCUUCACUGCCUGAGGAUUCAAACCGACAAAGAUCAUUCGAGAGUGGUCACGAAACUAAAGAGCAUCGUAAGGGAGCAAUGGGUCGUGGCUCAGAUCAAUCAAAAAAGAAGAUAGUAAAGGUAAAUUUUGGGAAAUUCGCAAGAUUUGAUCCUAACAUCUGGAUAUGAAGAAAAGAUCGAUGUAUUCGCCAGGAAUAUGGGGGCAAAGCAGCAGAUGUAAUCUAUUUUAUGUAAAGAAAUUUGUUCUCUAGAAAAGUUGUUCUAAUGGAAUUGAAUUAGGAAUCAAUGCCUCUCUUUCUUUUUGCAUUCAUUUCACGCAUUUGUAUUACAUAACAUCACAUGCAUUAAGGACCAUCAAAAGACUCUAAUUGAGUAAAAUGAUUUCAGCUAAUCUAGAGAACCAACACCCUUACGGAAUUCGAGCAAAAACUAAAAGAAUGGACCAAAGAUUGGAGAGAUUAAAGCAAAGGCAAAUACAGAUGCAAGAGCAAUUUACCAAAUUUCAACAAGAUAUGAAGGAUCAGAUGCUAGAAGUCCAAAGAAAUCUAAUAAGUCAGUUAACCCAGUUAUUGGAUAGAGGGUUAGAAAAAGGAAAAAACCCAGUGGUCCACUUUGGAGAUAAUGAUGAAGACCCUGCUCAUUUUCUAGGUUUUACCCCAACAAACCUCCAAGCACAACCGAAUGCAUGUCCACAAAAGGUAAAUGUUAACAUCCGACCACAAUACCAGACCAGUACCUCGACACCGGUGAAUUUCACGACAGGCUCAGGUUACAACCUUAGGGGAAAUCUAACUAGUCCCGUUGUCCUUGAUGAUCUAGCGGGAACAAAACAGGUGAGAGUAGAGCUCUCAAAACCAUUUGGAGAUCGUUACAAACAGAAAGGGCAAGAGUGGAAUCCUCAAAUCAAUACUUCGAGGGCCCCGAGGAAGAGGAAAGAUGACGUGAAUGAUGUGAGUAGGUAUAAUGAGGGUUAUUCAAAGCUGAUUACAACAAGCCAGAAAAGGACGGUUGAUUCUAGCCAUCAGAUCUCCCAGAGCAAGAAUUCGGCACAAAGAAAAACAUUGAGAAGUCCAAAUUUGUACCAAUCCCAAUGUCAUUUCGGGAGCUGUAUCAUAAUUUAUUUAACGCACACAUCGCCUCCCCUUUCUACUUGAAGCCUUUACAACCUCCGUACCCUAAAUGGUACGAAACGAAUGCACAAUGUGACUAUCAUGCAGGAAUUACGGGGCAUUCAAUAAAAGAUUGCGUUACCUUUAAAAAGGUGGUUGAAAGGCUCAUCAGUAUAGGCAUUGUCAAGUUCGAUACAAAAAAAUCUGCUGCCUAAUCAUAUUGAUAAUCGGGGUGAAUGCGAUGAAUGAGGAAAUAUUAGGAAACGUUCAAAUUAACGCUGUGCGAAGAAACAACUGAAGAAUGGACCUUGUUAGAUAUUUACCCGUACAUACUUAGGGGUGUUUUGAGCAAUGGGACUGUGGAAGAGAUCCCUGUAUUUUGUAGAGCUAAUUCUGAGUAAUAUCCAAAACACGCUUAUUGCUUUAAGCCUAGGGGCAAUAAGAAUCCUUUUGUGAGAUAGGCUUAUGUCCAACAUCUUUAUUUCAAUAAAAUGCAUCUUUGUUUCUCACUUCGAGCAAAUUUUUAUUCUUAGAUUCUUUUAUUCUUUGGAUAUACUUUCGUCCCUAUAAUAGGUCUUCAGAUAUCAAUGAUAUGAGCGACACUGCUAUUGACUCAGAACCUCCUUUUGAGCAAGAUAUGUGUCCAGAUUAAACUUCAAGACUUUGGAGAUAACUGAGACUGUAGCUUAUCUCUUAGUUUGUUAAGGACGGGAGAACAAGAUCCUACCUUACAAAGAAUCAAUGGAAGCCAUGGCCUUUCUCUGGAUGGGGCACGGAUGUCAUUAGGCCAAUCUCGCCUAAGGUUUUUGACGGCUAUCUUUAUAGUCAUCGAUUACUUAACCAAGUGGGCAGAAGUUGCUUCAUAUGUCAAUGUCGCAAAGUUAACAGUUUGUAAAUUCUUGAAAAAUCAUAUGUCAGUAUGGAAUGUCAAAAAGGAACAUAUCUGACAAUAUACUAAAAGUGAACAACGACACAAUAUCAGAAGUUUGCAGUCUGUUCAAGGUUAACACAUUUUGCCCUAGAAUGCACGGUGCAGUGGGAGCAAAAACAAAACAAAAAAGAGGAAAAAUUACUGCAAUGGCAACACAUUGGCUUAGCGCAGUUUUGCUCAUUGAGGUCAAGAUUCCUUCCCUCCGAGUGUUGGAUCAGAUCCCGAUUGAAGAGAAAUGUUCAAAGUUAUCCGUCUGGGUCAAAUACACCAAAAACAAAAGAUGCGAGCUCACCAAAGAAGGUUCACCCUAAAGAGUUCCAUGAAUGGAACCUAACAUCGAAGAAAAUCCUCCCCAUACAAAAAGGACUUUAUAAGAAAGAGGAUCUGAAAAAGUGUUGAUUUCGACCAGAAAGGAUAGCAAGGACUUACCUAAUCCUAUGAGUGCGGAUUCAAUCAAAGAAUGUAAAAAACAAACAAACAAACAAACGAAAAGAGAAAGAAAAGAAAAGAAGAAUGAAAAAAGAAAAAGGAGAGGCCAAGAUGAAAACCCGCAAAGGGCGCCUUGAGACCAAAGGGGUUUUGAAUUGAAAACCCAGGAAUGAGUAGUUCAAAUUUUGAUCAAAGGUGGGGCAUACGGUGGCCUUGUCCUUUCUGAAUUAGCAAGAAGGUGAGACGCUACAUCUCAGGCCAUCAACAAAGUCUUUUAGGGCUUCUAGACACAUAUCAAGUUCAAAAGAGUCCUCAAGAAGCUUAUACAGAAAAGCUCAUGCUGCGAUAUCUGGGGCACCUGUUUCCAUUUUAUUCAUUUUUAUUUUGGCAAAAUAUGCCAUCUUGAUUAAUUUAUUCUCAUUUCGUAUCUUAGCAAAUUUACUAUCUUGAUUAUUUAUUUCAAGCUUUGUUCUUAAUAAAAUUUCAUCUUGUCCAUUGUGAUAAUCCUUUUCAUCUUAUUCAUUUUGAAUCUUAGCAAAAUUCGCUGUUCUGCUUAAUUUAUUUGUUUAGAGCUCUGCUCUCAAUAAAAUUUCAUCUUUCCCACUAUGAUAAUCUUUUUCAUCUUAUCUUAGCAAAAUUUGUUAUCUUGAUUAAUUUAUUCAUUUUGAGCUUUGUUCUUAAUAAAAUUUCAUCUUAUCCAUAUUGAUAAUCUUUUUCAAGCAUUUUACAUUGAAAUAACGAUUAAUUGACUGAAUAUUCAAGCAAAAGGAGUUUUGCAUAUUACUCUGAAAGUUUCUAAAUAAUACAGGAACCUGAAAUAGGACUAUUGUUUAGAGCAUACCAAGUUUAAAGGGUGAAAUGUCUAAGAAGGAAAAGUCUAAAUUAAGACUAUCCUUUCGAACUUUGUUGUCCAAGCAUGAAUUGAACAAAACGAAAAAAUGUCGAGAUGGUGACAAAGUUUCAAUGAACAAACGAGCAAUGAUCACCGAGUGAUAAAAAGAGGUUUUUGGAAGAGAAAAUUCCACAAUCGUGCAUAAACAUUUGGUAUGACACCUUGGGAAUGGUGUAGAAGACCAAAGAGAUUCAGAUACUGUAUCCCUGAAUUACAGUGGGAGAGGAUUGAGAAAAGUCAGAUCUUAUACUCAGUGGGAGGAAGAUGGCUCGAAUUUUAUGCCCCAAAAUUACCAUGGACUUAACCUUGAAGAUUACAACGGAUUGAACUCUGAAGAUUACAGUAGGGGGCAAUCUGGCUAAGUAAGAGAUGAGUGUUACCAGCUGAGCAAGAUAGCAUUCUGAUAUGUUGGUAAUAAAACCUUAUUGAAUAACGAGCAAUAACAACCCUAACAUUAAAAAGGGAUCAUUCUCAUGACAUUCUGCAUUCAUGCAAAUAUAAUUCACAUACACACCUAGUUAGGAGCAUUUGAUUCGUUCUGAUCAUAAUAUCCUAAUCAUUAGGCAUAAAUAGAUUCAUAAAAUGGACUUUACAGGUCAUGUUCCCCAGAGAACAUAUUAAUAAAGUUACCCAUACCCCUAAAGUUGCAAUGGGAUGAAUUGAAGUUGUCAUAUCAAGUCUUAUCUCUCAGAAAUUACAGAGGAGUGGACUAGAGAUAGCAGAUCUUAUCUUCCUGUAUUUGGCAGCGAAGUAGAUCGUAGAUAGCAGAUCUUGUCUUCCUGUAUUUGGCAGCGAAGUAGAUCGUAGAUAGCAGAUCUUGUUUUCCUGUAUUUGGCAGCAGAGUAGAUCAUAGAUAGCAGAUCUUGUCUUCUUAUAUUUGGCAGCGGAAUAGAUCGAAGAUAGCAGAUCUUGCCUUCCUGUAUUUGGCAGCGAAGCGUAGAUAGCAGAUCUUGUCUUUCUGUAUUUGGCAGCGAAGUAGAUCGUAGAUAACAGAUCUUGUCUUCCUGUAUUUGGUAGAGGAGUAGAUCAUAGAUAGCAGAUCUUGUCUUCUUGUAUUUGGCAGCAGAGUAGAUCGAAGAUAGCAGAUAUUGUCUUCCUGUAUUUGGCAGCGAAGUAGAUUGAAGAUAACAGAUCUUGUCUUCCUGUAUUUGGCAAUAGAGUAGAUCGUAGAUAGUAGAUCUUGUCUUCCUGUAUUUGGCAGUGGAGUAGGUUAAAAAUUACUGAUUCUGUCACCUUAAGCAGUAGUGGAGCAGAUUAAAAGGAUGGAUCUUAUCUCUCCGAAGUUGCAGUAGAACAGAUCGCAUCAAACUUUAUUGAAGCUACAAGUCUUAUCUCACUGAGGUUGCAGUAGAAUAGACUGAAGAUAGCAGAUAUUAUCUCUCUGGAGUUGCAGUAGAGCAGACCACCAUGAUUUUAUCUCCCUAAAGUUGCAAUGGAGUGUACCAAAAUAAUAAAUCCUAUACCUCUGAAGUUGCAGUAGGUCGGACUAAAUCUACCAUAACAAAUCCUAUCUCCCUGAAGAUGCAGUGGAGCAAAUUGAAGACCGACUACAAGUCUUAUCUCCCUGAAGUUGUAGUGGAGCAGACUGUCGAUAACGGAUCUUAUCAUAUUAAAACCUUAUCUUCUUGAAGUUACGUGAAGCAGGUUGAAGCAACAAGUCUUAUCUCCCUGACGUUGCAGUAGAGUAGAUUAAAACCACGGAUCUCGUCCCCCUGAAGUUGCAAUAGAAUGGAUUGAAGCUACGAGCUGUAUCUCUCUGAAGUGCAGUGGAGUGGAUUGAAGCAACAAGACACAGUGGAUUGGAAUGAGGCUACCUGAAGAAGAGAAGCACUAGAAGAAGUCAAGACUCGGCGAGACCGGGUAAAUUUGGUCUUUCUUGGUCUUUGCUCUAUUCUCAUUACACGACAACGAGGAAAGAGGGGCAGCUGUACAAGCCCAAAUUUGCCCGGGGCCCAAGAACCCAAUGCACCCAAACCUCAGCUUAAUUACAAAUUUAACUCAGCAGACCCAACCCACCUAAACACCAACCCAACACCCAUGACCCAAACCUCAAUCCAAUAACACCUAGCCCAACAAGAUUAAACCCAAACCCGAGGCCCAAUAUCCAACCAAAAAAAAAUGAAGGCCCAGUAGCCCAACAUGUUUGAGACUUUUUCAGAAAAAAUGAAACCCUAGCCUACUGCCUAACCCUAGCCGCCUCUGCCUCCUCUAACAUCUUCUAGUAUGGCCGCCGCUCGUAGCCUCUGCCACCACCACCUUUGACGCCGAGCCGCCCGUCAAUCACCUACUCCAUCAACGUCAACACCUGCAAACAAGAGAAAAAGCAAUAGCAAAUAAUAGCAAAAAUAUUGUAAAAAAUGGCUAUAAAGCCAUAACCACCACUGUAAAUGGGGUACUCCCUCCCCCCCCGAUUUUUGUAUAAAAAAAUAUUAGCAGGGAAAUAAAGAAAAAAAGAUUGAAGGUGAUUUUUUCUUUUCUUUUCUUUUCGAUUUUGUAGACCCGUUUUUCUGUUCUCUUUUCUUUUUUCGUUUACACGUAUGUAAAUAAAGGUAGUAAAUAAAAGGAAAGAAUGAAGACUUACCCAUUUCGCCUUUCAGUUGCGCCGCCGUCGGGGUCUGCUCAUCGUUGAAAUCGGCCCCGAAAGGUCGAGUUAGGGGGUCCUUCGUCUUGAUUUUUGGGCCAAACGAAUAUAGCCUUCGAUUGGGUCUUAAAACGGGGACUAGAAUGCCCAUUUUGCGCAACGCCGGCCACUGUCCACGGUAGCGCUAUGGCGGCGCUAAGAAGACCCAAAGGCCGAACGUUUGAGAGGGAUGAGGAAAGGUUUUUUUUUGUUUUUUUUUAAAUUAGUGGCUGAAAUGUUUUAUAUUUUCAUAUAGUUUUUAUAUACAUAUAUAUAUAUAUUCUUAUAUGCACAUACUUAUGUUUUUUUUAUACUUUAUAUAUAUAUACACCUAAACAUGCAUACUUUUUUANNNNNNNNNNNNNNNNNNNNNNNNNNNNNNNNNNNNNNNNNNNNNNNNNNNNNNNNNNNNNNNNNNNNNNNNNNNNNNNNNNNNNNNNNNNNNNNNNNNNAAUUUAUAUUGUUAUUAAUUGUUUUAUUUGAUAUUUAUUUAUUUGCUUAUCAUUAUUUUUAUGAAAUGCUUUAGUUCUUUUUACUUACUCAUUAUUUCAUGUAUAAUUUUUUUUAUAUAUGUGUCCUUUUUAUUGUUGCUCGUAUUAUUUUACUUACAUUAUCAUAAUUGUCAUUCCAUUACGUUAAUUUUCACCCAGAUUCAAAAAAAGAAAUUUUAAAAAUAUAAAUAAUACUCGGUAUUUGGGAUCUUCGAGAGAAUCGAGUCCUAACGUAUUGGGUUCCGAUUUUCUUCGUUGAAUCUAAAUAAUUGAGACUACUCUUUUUUUAUAUAUAUAAAAAAACAUAAAUAAAAGCUCAUUAUCGGGAAUUCAAUACGUUGUGUCCUAACGCAUUGGAUAUGAUACAUUGUUUUCUCGAGAUGAGGAUUUUUCUAAAAAAAUAAAAAUAAGGCAAUGUUUUGAGUUUGGGAAAUUCGAGAAAACGUGCCCUAAUGUGCUGGGUUUCGAUUUCUCGUUUAGCCAAAUAUUCUCUUAAAUCUUAAUCUAUGUCAUUUAAGUUUUUUUAGGAUCGUAUUUUAAAUCUCUUUAAAGUUUUCAGUUUUUCGACGCUAAGACAUUAAGUAAUCAACUAGGUACCAAUUUUGGGCGUAUCGAGCGUGCUAAUCCUUCCUCGUGCGUAACCGACUCCCGAACCCGUUUUUCUGAAUUUCGUGGACCAAACUUGUUGUUUUAAUAAAAUCAAAUCAUUUAUUAAAACAACCACUUUUUGAGGUGAUCCGAUCACACCUUAUCAAAAAAGAUUGGUGGCGACUCCCACUUUCGUUUUCAUUUUUCAAAACCCAAGUCGACCCCUUUUUAUCAAAAAAAUGGUGUCAACAACAAUAACAAUAGAAGCACAUCAAAGUCAAAGCACAUAGGCUUUAAGUUCAUUGUUAUUAUAAUAAAAGUUCAGGGUGGUUAGAUGUCUAUAAAGUAUAUUGAGACGAACUCCAUGAUUACGGAUUCGCUUAUUAAGUGACUACCACCCAAAGUUUUUUUCCUGAGCACACUGUUGAUAUGGGUGUAAUGUCAUUUAAGAAUAUUUGAUUUUAGUAGGAGUUUGUACUUUUAAAUGUUUUUAUGUUAUAAACACAUUUUCAAUUAUUUUAGUUUACGAAUAUUAAGUUUAUUUUUUAUAGAAAUAAAGUUUUUUUGGUAAAGUUUGAUCUCACUAAGGUUAAUAAGGACCAGUUAGAAUAUGCAUGUUUGAAUCAUAUUACAUAUAAUUUUCAUGUUACACAUCCAUACUUGAUCUAUGUCAUUUGGUUGUGCUAAUAUAUGUGAUUAGGGAUGUAUUUAAUUAUGAUAUAUGUAACAAAAGUUGCAUUCGUUCUAUGUUAACAUAAUUAAUGGACGAGAUUGUUCGAAAUAUCUUUUGGAUAUGAUAGUAAAAUUUUGAGCUCAUAAGAUUAUAUAAUAACAUGUAAUUAUAAAGUAAUCGGUAUAUAUCAAAAGUCUUUCCCACAUUCAUCAACUAGAAAUCAGAGCUCACCAAAUGUCUAUUCUUUUCAAUCUGAACCGACUCUACAAUCACUUAUUGCUCAUGGUCAUCAGCCUAUAAACCCAGGAGCAUUGUUAACUUCUAAAUCCAAAACACUAAUAUCAGCAUCCAACCCUACAAUGAUAGUCUUAUUGACUCAUUUAAACAAGUUUCCUUUGUCAAUCUAUAUUCCGUAUUUGGUAAUCUCCAGUAUGAAUUCAGAAUUUAGGAUAGCUGGAAUAAGAAUAGCAGCAAAGAUGCAAAGGGAAACGACUUGUAGGAGGAGGAAGAACCUUCUUUUGGGUACAGACCUGUAUAGCAUAUAAUAGGAUGUCCUGUAUAAUGUCACGAGAGCUAGUACCGUUGCCAAGCAGUAAUUAGUAAUGCUGAGUCUAGAAUAGGAAACGGAUCCAGGAGUCGAAAGAGAGAAAAAAUACUGAAGUUCGAGUGUCCGUAUGGAAACAGCAACUAAAAGCAUGUAACAGGUCCCAAACAAGGAAAGUGUUAUGAGAAUAAACAAGCAGAUUGAACGGCUGGGUAGGAGAUAGGCAGUUAAAACAGUUGCUGCCCAAAAGGUUAAAGUGUUGUAUAACCAAAACAUUGUGGACACGUCUAGUAUAUUUUUU
rnacentral:lncRNA from 1 species